GAUGAACGCUGGCGGCGUGCCUAAUACAUGCAAGUCGAGCGAAUGGAUUAAGAGCUUGCUCUUAUGAAGUUAGCGGCGGACGGGUGAGUAACACGUGGGUAACCUGCCCAUAAGACUGGGAUAACUCCGGGAAACCGGGGCUAAUACCGGAUAACAUUUUGAACCGCAUGGUUCGAAAUUGAAAGGCGGCUUCGGCUGUCACUUAUGGAUGGACCCGCGUCGCAUUAGCUAGUUGGGGAGGUAACGGCUCACCAAGGCAACGAUGCGUAGCCGCCCUGAGAGGGUGAUCGGCCACACUGGGACUGAGACACGGCCCAGACUCCUACGGGAGGCAGCAGUAGGGAAUCUUCCGCAAUGGACGAAAGUCUGACGGAGCAACGCCGCGUGAGUGAUGAAGGCUUUCGGGCCGUAAAACUCUGUUGUUAGGGAAGAACAAGUGCUAGUUGAAUAAGCUGGCACCUUGACGGUACCUAACCAGAAAGCCACGGCUAACUACGUGCCAGCCGCCGCCGUAA
rnacentral:rRNA from 1 species